GAUGAACGCUGGCGGCGUGCCUAAUACAUGCAAGUCGAGCGAACGGACGAGAAGCUUGCUUCUCUGAUGUUAGCGGCGGACGGGUGAGUAACACGUGGAUAACCUACCUAUAAGACUGGGAUAACUUCGGGAAACCGUAGCUAAUACCGGAUAAUAUUUUGAAUCGCAUGGUUCAAAAGUGAAAGACGGUCUUGCUGUCACUUAUAGAUGGAUCCGCGCUGCAUUAGCUAGUGGGUAAGGUAACGGCUUACCAAGGCAACGAUGCAUAGCCGACCUGAGAGGGGGAUCGGCCACCCUGGAACUGAGACACGGUCCAGACUCCUACGGGAGGCAGCAGUAGGGAAUCUUCCGCAAUGGGCGAAAGCCUGACGGAGCAACGCCGCGUGAGUGAUGAAGGUCUUCGGAUCGUAAAACUCUGUUAUUAGGGAAGAACAUAUGUGUAAGUAACUGUGCACAUCUUGACGGUACCUAAUCAGAAAGCCACGGCUAACUACGUG
rnacentral:rRNA from 1 species